GUACGGGUAUUAAGAAGCCCCGGCUAACUACGUGCCAGCAGCCGCGGUAAAACGUAGGGGGCCAGCGUUGCUCGGAAUUACUGGGCGUAAAGGGUCCGUAGGCGGUGCGGUAAGUCGGGAGUGAAAUCUCUGGGCUUAACUCAGAGGCUGCUUCCGAAACUACCGUGCUCGAGUGCGAGAGAGGCGAGUGGAAUUGCGGGUGUAGCGGUGAAAUGCGUAGAUAUCCGCAGGAACAUCCGAGGCGAAAGCGGCUCGCUGGAUCGCAACUGACGCUGAGGGACGAAAGCUAGGGGAGCAAACAGGAUUAGAUACCCUGGUAGUCCUAGCCCUAAACCAUCAGGACUUGGGGUUUGCCCUGUACGGGGCAAGUCCCGUAGCUAACGCGUUAAGUCCUGCGCCUGGGGAGUACGGUCGCAAGGCUGAAACUCAAAGGAGUUGACGGGGGCCCGCACAAGCGGUGGAACAUGUGGUUCAAUUCGACGUAACGCGAAGAACCUUACCUGGGCUUGAACCGCACAGGACCAGCCUAAGAAAUUAGGUCUUCCCGCAAGGGACCUGUGUAGAGGUGCUGCAUGGCUGUCGUCAGCUCGUGCCGUGAGGUGUUGGGUUAAGUCCCGCAACGAGCGCAACCCUUACUCGUAGUUGCCACCCGCAAGGGGGAACUCUACGAGGACUGCUCCGGAUAACGGAGAGGAAGGCGGGGAUGAGGUCAAGUCAGCAUGGCCUUUAUGUCCAGGGCUACACACGUGUUACAAUGCGCGCCACAAAGCGUUGCAAACCCGCGAGGGGGAGCUAAUCGCAAAAAAGCGCGCUCAGUUCGGAUUGCAGUCUGCAACUCGACUGCAUGAAGCUGGAAUCGCUAGUAAUGGCGCAUCAGAACGGCGCCGUGAAUACGUUCCCGGGCCUUGUACACACCGCCCGUCACAUCACGAAAGUGGGCUGUACUAGAAGUCGCCGUGCCAACCCCAAGGAGGCAGGCGCCCAAGGUAUGACUCAUGAUUGGGGUGAAGUCGUAACAAGGUAGCCGUA
rnacentral:rRNA from 1 species